GUCCAGCAGCCGCGGUAAUUCCAGCUCCAAUAGCGUAUAUUAAAGUUGCUGCAGUUAAAAAGCUCGUAGUUGAAUUUCGGGACUAAUAUGUUGGUCGUGCCUCGGUACGUACUGAUAUUUUUGGUUUCUCCCUUCUGACGAACCUUGAUGUCAUUAAUUUGGUGUCUUGGGAAAUCAGGACUGUUACUUUGAAAAAAUUAGAGUGUUUAAAGCAGGCUCACGCUUGAAUACAUUAGCAUGGAAUAAUGAAAUAGGACGUUUGAUUCUAUUUUGUUAGGGUUUCUAGGGAUCGACGUAAUGAUUAAUAGGGAUAUUGGGGGGCAUUAGUAUUCAAUUGUCAGAGGUGAAAUUCUUGGAUUUAUUGAAGACUAACUACUGCGAAAGCAUUUGCCAAGGAUGUUUUCAUUAAUCAAGAACGAAAGUUAGGGGGAUCGAAGACGAUCAGAUACCGUCGUAGUCUUAACCAUAAACUAUGCCGACUAGGGAUCGGAUGAUGUUAAUUUUUUAAUGACUCAUUCGGCGCCUUACG
rnacentral:rRNA from 1 species